UGCGGAGCUGAGGGGAGAUGAGGCACCCGAGGGCGCCUGGACGUCAGGGCACGGGCGGCUGGUGCCCCCGUCACCGAGGGGCACCCUGAGGUCGGGGUGCGGGCCCAGGCAGCCAGGAUGGGAACCCGGGCCUGGGGGCUCCAGAGCGACCCUGCGCCUCCUCAGGGCAGGGGUGAAGAGACUUCAGGGAGGGGAAGGACAGAUCAGAUGCUCGAAUGUAGGGUCUCAAAACUCUACAGGCUGCGGGGCCAGACAGGGGACAAAGGACUAAAGCAGACAUCAGGAAUGUUGACAAAAACUCCUGGCUCUUAAAUAAUGGCAGAUCACUGUCACAGUUUUAACACUGUUGGCGAAAACAGAAGACGUUUGCGGGCUGCGUUGGGCUCGGAGGCGGCCAGCGUGAGACCCGUGUAGGAGACUCUGGGGGGCCUGGUUGAGGACUGUGGCGUGGGAGGAGAAAAGAGGGUCUCCGAGGAGGCACCCAGUCUUACCUCUACCACCGUCAGGAUGAAGCCUUUCCACAUCUCCCGAGACUCCAGGCUCUCUACCUGCGGAGGGACAGAAAAAGAGCCCAUGGCGAUGAGCCUCGGUCAAUUCAUCUGUGAAAUGGGAGCGAGCAAUAAUAGUCACUGUUUUCCAAGGGUUCUUUUGAAGAUUAAACGAGUUGGGACCCGGGUUACUUUCGGAUGUCUGGACAUCAUAAGUCGUCAGGAAAGCGAAGAACCCGAGGCCUAGAGAAGUCAAGUGACUCGGCCAGUGUCACCAACCCAGUGGUAGCCUCCGUGCGACUCCGUGCUAGUGUGUGUUAGUGGACUGCGUUGGAUACGGGUGGCGAGCGUGAACAUCCUUGCCCUGUUCCCUCUGUUACGGGGAAAGCGUCUAGUCUUUCCCCAUCGAGUACAAUGUUAAUUGCAGGUCCUGAGGAUUAGAAUAUGAACAUCUUUAGGGAACCGUUAUUCCACGACCACAGCCUGUUAAAUAUGAUGGCUAACAUUGAUUGAUUCUUGAAUACUGAACCUGCUAUGCAUCCCUGGAGUAAACCCCACUCAGUCAUACUCGCCCUCAGAAGGGAUCUGUGCUGACAGUGUGGAGCCUGCUUGGGAUUCUCUUUUCUCUCUCUCUCACUCUCUUCUCCUCCCCCGCUUACGCAUGCACUCUCUCUCUCUCUCAAAAAAAAAAAAAAAUUAAAUGAAUUGGAAAAUGUUCCCUCUUCUUCAAGUUUCUGGAAGACAUUUUUUU